AUUGAACGCUGGCGGCAGGCCUAACACAUGCAAGUCGAGCGGCAGCACGGGUACUUGUACCUGGUGGCGAGCGGCGGACGGGUGAGUAAUGCCUAGGAAUCUGCCUGGUAGUGGGGGAUAACGCUCGGAAACGGACGCUAAUACCGCAUACGUCCUACGGGAGAAAGCAGGGGACCUUUGGGCCUUGCGCUAUCAGAUGA
rnacentral:rRNA from 1 species